rnacentral:rRNA from 1 species
UGGGGAAUAUUGCACAAUGGGCGCAAGCCUGAUGCAGCCAUGCCGCGUGUAUGAAGAAGGCCUUCGGGUUGUAAAGUACUUUCAGCGGGGAGGAAGGUGUUGUGGUUAAUAACCACAGCAAUUGACGUUACCCGCAGAAGAAGCACCGGCUAACUCCGUGCCAGCAGCCGCGGUAAUACGGAGGGUGCAAGCGUUAAUCGGAAUUACUGGGCGUAAAGCGCACGCAGGCGGUCUGUCAAGUCUGAUGUGAAAUCCCCGGGCUCAACCUGGGAACUGCAUCCGAAACUGGCAGGCUUGAGUCUUGUAGAGGGGGGUAGAAUUCCAGGUGUAGCGGUGAAAUGCGUAGAGAUCUGGAGGAAUACCGGUGGCGAAGGCGGCCCCCUGGACAAAGACUGACGCUCAGGUGCGAAAGCGUGGGGAGCAAACA